GUCAAAUUUCCCGCGAGCAUUUCGUCUUCCGGUAGUUGCCGUUGAUCGGGGAGCCCUUCGCUUUAUCUCGCUGCCCCUAAUUGAAGUUCCUACUCUACAGUAUUUUUAAGCUGAUUCAUCUGAUAUUAUAGUUCGAGGGGAAGGUGGUCUCUGGAAUCGGGGCAAGAUCAAUGGGAACUGGAACUAGUCUCAAGAAGAUGGCGCAUCCAGUCGUUCUCAUCUUUCAGAAAUGGUACCUCGCUACCGUCGACGCCGCCGGAAACACCAUCUUCAAAACCAAACACUACUGGUUGGGCGGUUUCACCCAGCUCCAGGAUGCUGCUGGAUAUACUGAACUUACGAUGAAGCCAAAGUUUAUAACCUGGCACGGCAGGUGGCAGGCGUUUAUGGGGGACAGCAUGAAGGCGAAAGAUCUUGUGUUCAGCAUCAUGAGGAGUUCUUUUCUGCAGUUUUAUGAUGAGUGGUUCGUCUAUCUUGGGGGAAAAACAGAAGAGAACACUUACGAUUUUAGGGUAACAGGAAGUUACAGAAAGAAGAAUUACACCAUUUACAAAGGAGACUCGUCCUCUGUAGUCGCUCAGAAAAGCUAUUAUUACCUGAGGGUCCUCACGGCCUUCUUCUUGUUCUGGAGCUGCUUCAAACUCUUCUUAUGGUAGUGAGGUUGUUCCUUGGCAACCCUUAUAAGGCUGUUUUCUGGAAUCUAGAAUCUCGGGAACAAAAAAUCAAACUUAUCUAAUCUUCACAGCAUUUAGAAAAGAGACAGUGUUGCUUCAGUAUUUGUGGUUUUGGGGAAAAUUAUAAUUCGAGAAAAGAAAGGAAAUGCAAGGGAUUGACGGUUGCAUUUUUUCCCCUUGGAAUCAGGUUCUUUAUUUUAAGAGAAGAAAUGGAAAGAAGAAAAUAUUAUGAGUUGCUCAGCCCGAAAAGAAUAUUAGGAUUAUGGAAUAUAUAUUUGCUUCCUGUAGUAACACUUACCUGCAAUUAUCUUUGUUAAAAUACUUCUAGCUCAUGUUGUCGGUGCAAAAUAGAGAAUAUCUUUGUUUUUUUUAUAAAAAUAGAGCAUAAUAUGCUUAAUGAUUAUAUUUCCUUGUAAGCUUAGAAUCAUCAAUAGGGGAAAUUGUCGUUCAACCUUAUGUUUCCUUGCUUAGAUGGUUUUUUAAAAUAUUUUAGUUUCGACAGCAUGUCUUUAGGGUAUCUCCAACCGAAAAGCCUAUUUUACACUCUAAAAUGCAGUAAAACUUUAAAAUGCAUUCAUUCUUCUCCAAUCGAAUGUUAUUUCUUCUUUCGCGCGCUUUCUGCAAUGAUAACCAUCUUUGGCGUGCUUUUCUCCUCUUUUGCGCGCUUCUUUGGCAAAUCCGCAGCCAAUUUUUCUGGCUUAGGCGAACAGUCCAACUCCAAUAUUGGCGUCGCAUUGUUCACCUACCGGAAUUUGACGUGCCAUUUGGAGUUUGAAUGGAGCAAAUAACGGAUGGCAUACAGUGGUAUGGAGUUCGGUUGGAGAUGGUCUUAGCUGUCACAUUUUUUUGUUUCUCUGUGUGCGGUUAAGGGGCUGUUUGUCUUAUGUAGGAUUCAAUAAGCCUUGUAUAUUCAGAUUUAGGGGGUGUUUGGUUGCAAGGUUUAAUCAAAAUUUGGUUAAGAUUUAGGCUAAAUCAUGGCAAACAGUAUAUCGAGCCACAUAAAUCUUAUUGCCUUCUCAAAUCCUGUUUUCUUCCAUUUUCGGCUAAAUCACAUAUUUAGUAAAUCUUGGGGAUGCAGAACCCAAGAGGUUUACACCACUUCUCUAUAUCAUGCCUCUUCUUCUCCUUCAGUUAAAUCCUCAAUCUUCGUUAAAUCCUCAAUCUUCAAUUCAAAAUAUUUGCCAGAUAAUUUUCUUGGAUUCAAUCAAGUUCAAACAUAUUUAAGAUCCAUCAUGCUAAACUAUUUCAGAAUUUAACAACCCAUGAUUUAUCAAGAUUUAGGUUUGGUUUGGGACAUGUUUUUAACUAUUUUCUAAAGCAACUUUUUUAAACUAGAAAUUUUUGUAAAAAAAGACACUUUAAAAAGUAACAAAAAGCUGCCUCAAAUGAAGCCUUAAGCAACUACAAUUAAAAUAUGAAAACUGCUUUUUAACGUUUUAAUUGUGUUACUUUUGUGGAGCAAAGAAGAAUGAAUGAUCUCUUGCAACAAUCGAUUUAUUCUUUAUUUGUAGAGCAACAAAUGAUGGUAAGUAUGAAGUAUUAGUCUUCAUUUGAAACAAUUUUCUUACCGUUUUCUAAAGCAAUUUUUUAAUAAAAAUUUUCUAGAACUGUAUUAAAAAGCUGUCUCAAAGAAAGCCUUAGAUGUGAAUACAAUUUAAAGUUUUGGCCGCUAGCAAUCAUAAAAAACCAAAAUGAAAAUUUCUUCAACACUAUAACAUCAAAGUGAUUGAUGAAAAUUUUUAUGUGAACUCAUGAACUUGAGCGUUUGGUCUUGUAUAAUAAGUUUAUGCCAGUGGUUUUUAUGUAUCAGAAGAUUACCUGGAUAUCUACAUUGCAGAUGGAUUGCCGUAGAACGCUGGAAGUGAAGUCACUGCGAAGCUACUAUGAGAUUCCGAAGCGCAGAUAAGUGACACCUGUAAGCUGGAUUCACCAAAAAAGCUACUGUAAGAUUCUGCUUAUAAUUUUUGUCGACCACUAAUUGUGCUUUAUAAUAUAAUUGUUUUGAAAAGCUAAUUAGCUUCCUUUUAACCACUGCUCUCUCUCUCUCUCUGCUUAUAUGAAUAUUCUGAUAUAAAUUAUCUUAAAAAUAAUUAAAUUUAUCAGUAGGGUAUAAUUUGACUAUUUUAAAACUAUCAUUAAAUAAUUUAAUCAAAAAAAUAUAUUUAAAUAAGUAAAAAAAUAUUAUUGAUAAAUAUAUUUUUAAUAUUUUAUAAUGGACAUGUGCCCCCAGUGGCUCUCUUUUAAACCCGUCAUUACCUAUCACAUUAGGUAUUUGUUUUUUUUUUUUGGUCUAAAUUAGUUUAUAAUUAGUUUAAAUUAUCUCAAUCAAGUCCUUUUAAUUUAAAUUUAUUGUGUUCAUAUCCAUAAUCCAAACGACAUAUCAGAUAAGGUCAAUUUCACCUAUACAAUAUAUUGUCCAUGCUAACUUAUAUAAGCCAAUAGUUCGAUUGUGUCGAUUCAUGAUAAGUUGAUAUUUUGCCAUUUUGUAAAGCCAAAUUUUGAUUUCAUCAUUAUAUAAUUUGAGAUUUGUAAUAAAUUUAAAUUAUAAGGAUGGAAGUAAAAUUAAAGCAAAAUUAUUGAGGCUAAAAAUUGUAUAUGUAUAUAAUUUUUAAUAUUUUUAUCAACUAAAAAUUAGGUGAAAAAGCUUCUUGUUAGAAAAAAAAUAUAUAACAAUAUGAUUUAAAGAAAUAAAGAAAUGUUCACUACUUUAUUCAUGUAUUACUUUUUACAUAUAAAAGUCAUGAUUAAAUGAGCAUAACUAGAUAUAGGUAAGCUUAAUUGCACCAAAUAAUUAUUUUCAUGUGCAUAAAAGAAGUUAGAAGUUAGAAGCAAACAAACCAAAUUGAAACACGUAGGAAUGCAUGACAAGAUUGUUGAUGCUUAUAGUUUAUUAAAAGGAAUUAGAAUCAGGUUUUUUUUUUUUAAAGGGAAAAGGAGAGGUGAAAGGAGAACCCAAACAAGGCAUCAACAAUUUGUUCAAGUUGACCCUUUGGGCUAACACUUGUUUGAUAACCCAAAAUUCAAAAUUAGAAUUGAUUUACGUCGACUUGAUGGAGUGUAUUUUAUUAUUUUAAUUUUUUGAAAAAAAUAUAUAAUUAAGAGAAAUUUUGUUUGAAUGAGCUCCACGAUUAAUCUGAAAUGGAAUAUAUAGUGUAGUUGAGGUCUAUUUGAUUUGAGUUUAAAUUAUUAUUUUUUUAAUGAUUAAGAUUGACCUAUUAAAUUUUGAUUCAAUCGCAUCUCUACAGUCAAUUCGACCAUAGGAACAAAAAAUUUCAGAGAUUAGAACUCAAUCCUUAGAUCUUAUAUUUGUUGGAGAUGAGAUUUUUUACGAUUAAUAUUGAUCUUAACUAAGAUUUUUUUAAAGGUUGGUCAUGAAUAUAUUCUGAAAUGAGUUUUGGUAUUUAUACCCACUCAAUAAUGUUUGGAUUUGAUGGCCUUUUAUUUUAUUUUAUUUUAUUUCUCUCUUAGGGUUUUCACCCUUUAACUUUUAGUUUGGAGAUCAAUGGUAAUAACACUUAAGCAAAAUUGUUAGUGGCUUAAUGGUCGUUUUAUAACAUGCAAUGUGCAAUAUGAACAUAUAGCUUGAAAAAAAUCUAAGAUCCUUGUGUUAUUCUAUUUACAUAUUCCUAAGAUAAGAAUAUUGAAUUUAGCCUCAUAUCAAACAGGAGAAUUAUGAUUUUAUGAAAACUAUAGGGCCUAAUUUGUCUUUUCAAAUUGCAAUCAAAUUGGUAUGUGAUCAAUAACUAUAGUUUCCCUAAUUAAUUAGAUCCUAAGUGAUUAACCCUCUUUUCAAAUUACUUUAGAUAAUGCUUCUGCAAAUAAUGUUUAAGUUGAUUUUCUAAGAAAUCAUUUAAAUUUACGUGAUGGUUUGUUAUGUCAUGGCGAUUUUUUUCACGUGCAUUGUACUGUCCAUAUUGUUAAUCUCAUAGUGCAAGAAGAUUGAAGGAGAUUGAUUGUUCAAUAUCAAAAAUCAGAGAGAAUACUAAGUAUGUGAAAGGCUCUCAUGCAAGAAAACAAAAGUUUCUUGAUUAUGUCAAACAAAGUUGCUUAGAUGGAUAUAAAGGUUUGUGUCAGGAUGUUCCAACUAGAUUGAACUCCACCUUUAUUAUGCUUGAUAGCGCUAUCUAUUUUCGAUAGGCUUUUCAACAUUUAGAGUUGGUUGAUUCAAAUUACAAGAAUUGUCGUAUUAUUCUCGAAUGAGAAAAAGUUGAGGCUAUUUGCAAAUUUUGGCUCCUUUUUAUAAGAUCACUUAUGUCAUUUCGUGGUCAAAAUACCCAACAUCAAAUUUAUACUUUUCAUGUAUUUCAACAAUGUAUGCAGAAUUGAAAAAUGAAAUUUUAAAUGGCCAUCAAUACAUAAAGAAGAUGGCUAUAUGGAUGAUUGAUAAGUUUGAGAAAUAUUGUUCAAAAUUGAGUGAUAUGUUGGCAAUAACUAUCAUUUUAGAUACACGAUAUAAAUUUAUUUUUGUUGAGUAAUGUUAUAGGAGAUUGUAUAAUGAAGAUUAUCUCUUCAAAUUAAGAAAGAUUAAACUUAAGUUAAUCUUCUAGUUUGCAAACUAUAGUUAGAGGGCAUGAUUUAUCAGGGCAACAUUCACAUGCAUCUAAAUUGGUAGAAAAAGUUGCAUCAAGGAGUACAUCAUCACCAAUGAUCUUUCUACAGGUUGUAUCUUCAUUACUAGUAUUGUCACUAGCUCCUUCAAUAAUACUUUUUGUUUUUGUUUUAUGAGUUAUGAUGAAUUUCAAAAACAUGAUUUUGAUUCAUUUGAGAAGGAAGUCGUAAUGCAUAGGCAAUCAGAAUUAGAUAUUUAUCUUGAUGACCAAAAUUUGAUAGAAAGAUUGUUUUAGAUAUAUUAAAAUUCUGACAAGGCAACCUUUAUAAAUUUCCUAGUGUUUAUGCUAUAGCUCGUGAUGUAUUGUGCAUUGACUGCAUUCCAAUAACUACAGUAGCAUCUGAAAGUUCAGUUAUUGGAUGAUUUUAAUUGGUUUACACAAAUACAAUCUAACUAACUAAUCUUAUACAAGCUGCCAUUGUGUAGCCUCUUAUGAUUAGAGAAUACAACCAAAUCAUAUGCAGAAUAUUUACUUGUUUUGUUUCAUCUUUAUUAUGGCUGCUACGUUAUUAGCUUAUAUAGCUGAAACCUGCUGUUAUAUAUCGUUUUAAUUUUAUGAAGCCACAAUUAUAAAACUUCUAAAAUGAAUGUGGGAAUCCAAUCAGAGUAAGUGCUAUUACAACCAGGUAGCAUUUGUAUUCUCUUAAAAUGUACAAAUACUAUCAAAUUGAACAUAUACUAAGCUAAUACAAACUACCACCUUGGAAGGUAAUAUUUAUUACACUUACAAUUCAUUAGUUAAUUAAUGAUUUAGAGGGUUAAUAAUCUAAGCUAUGUAUUCAUGUUUUCUAGCUAUUUGACUGAUUUUAUUGCAGUUAAAUUUAUACAAAGACAGAUUCUUCUUGAGCAAUUUUUUGGGGAGCAAUUGAGCAAAUGAGCAAAGAGUAAAUUCUUGUAUUUCAUAAUCCAUAUUCAGACUUGUUGUAAACUAUUUUGUAUUUUGUAAAUUGAUUUUUAAUUCAGUAAAGCAACAAAAUGUAAAAAUGUGAUAUGUCCAAUUUAAAUUGUUGUAAAAUGUUUUGUAUUUUGUUAAUUGAUUUGUAAUUUUGACUUUA